rnacentral:snRNA from 1 species
ACUCGUUUCGGUACUUGCAUUUACUAAAUUUGGAACGGUACAGAGAAGAUCGGCAUGGUCUCUGCGCAAGGAUAACGCUCAAUAUCUUUAAAAGUUCCACAUACGA